rnacentral:rRNA from 1 species
UUUCUCCGCCGGCGACCGGCGCGACGGGUGAGUAACACGUAUGCCAACCUCGCCCCGUGUCAGGGGGACAACCCGCCGAAAGGCGGGCUAAACCCGCGUACAUGCCACCGGGGCAUCCCGGAGGCAGGAAAGGCUUCGGCCGGACAGGGAUGGGCAUGCGGCGCAUUAGGCAGUAGGCGGGGUAACGGCCCACCUAACCGACGAUGCGUAGGGGUUCUGAGAGGAAGGUCCCCCACACUGGUACUGAGACACGGACCAGACUCCUACGGGAGGCAGCAG